rnacentral:rRNA from 1 species
UACGUAGGGUGCGAGCGUUGCCCGGAAUUAUUGGGCGUAAAGAGCUUGUAGGCGGUCUGUCGCGUCUGCUGUGAAAAUCCGGGGCUCAACCCCGGACUUGCAGUGGGUACGGGCAGACUAGAGUGUGGUAGGGGAGACUGGAAUUCCUGGUGUAGCGGUGAAAUGCGCAGAUAUCAGGAGGAACACCGAUGGCGAAGGCAGGUCUCUGGGCCGCUACUGACGCUGAGAAGCGAAAGCAUGGGGAGCGAACAGG